UACAGAGACUGCAAGCGUUAUUCGGAUUCACUGGGCGUAAAGAGCGUGUAGGCGGCCAGGUAGGUCGGUUGUGAAAACUCGAGGCUCAACCUCGAGAUGUCGACCGAAACCAUCUGGCUAGAGUCCGGAAGAGGAGAAUGGAAUUCCCGGUGUAGCGGUGAAAUGCGCAGAUAUCGGGAAGAACACCCGUGGCGAAGGCGGUUCUCUGGGACGGUACUGACGCUGAGACGCGAAAGCGUGGGGAGCGAACAGG
rnacentral:rRNA from 1 species